CGACAGUUACAGGUGCACCGCCCUCCACCGCUAGGCAAAGAAGAGACCGUGACCUUGUUAUAACUCACAUCUUCGACGAUAUAGAGAGUUCGCCGUCAUUGCUUGAUAAUGAAAACCCUCCACCGUACAAUUUUGACGUCCACAUUGAUCGUGCCAGUCUUAAUAUGGCAAGAGAAUGAAAAAAAAAAAAAAUCAAUAUUCGCAUAGAAAGCUGACUCACUAACCCUUAAUGCGACACCCAAAAACAAAACUAAUUAAGAUUUAUAAUUCUUGGGCUGAUUUUAAGUCAUGAGAAAAAUUCAAAUCCAUGAAAGCAAGAAUUACGAAAAUACACACCAUAUUAAUAUUUACAAUGAGAUCGGUUGCCCUUAGUGUGACAUCCAGAGAAACCCAAGUGGGAUUUAAUUUUUGGGUGUUUUGUAGUCUAUUUUUUUUGCUGGAAUUUCAAGCGGGAGAGCUGAUUUACGUGGUUGUUAGUAGGGAAGGGCUGCGAUGUGAUGGAUGGUGAUGAUCGAUGGAUAUGUUCGGGCUGUGGGCUGGAGCUCGACUGGACAGUGAUUUAGGGGACAUCUGGUCCGAUGGAAAGGGAAGUGAGGGGCUGUUGUGAACUGGGUUUUUAGGUGGUAAGGUGGCGAUGUGGAGGAAGAUUCAUGAAUGAUGAUCUCUUGGUAUUUGACUAGAUUUAAUUAAUGGCGUAGACUGGUGGUCCAUCGAGGUUGUGAGGUUGAUUGGUGUGGGCUUGCCGGUCAGGUCUUCUAGGAAAAAGAUAGUGGGUCUUUCAGGGAAUUUGGUGGUGAGACUGCAGGUCGGCUUUAAGCGAUGGAGAAGACGGUAAUGGGACACUGGCCUCUUGUUCGGGUUGGCUCGGGUGGGGAAGGAUGAAUGGGC
rnacentral:lncRNA from 1 species